AGCGGCGGACGGGUGAGUAACGUGUGGGCAACCUGCCUUUUACUGGGGAAUAAUCACUGGAAACGGUGACUAAUACCGCAUAAUAUUCUUGGAAGGCAUCUUCCGAGAAGGAAAGGAAAUAUUCGGUAAAAGAUGGGCCCGCAUCUGAUUAGCUAGUUGGUGAGAUAACAGCCCACCAAGGCGACGAUCAGUAGCCGACCUGAGAGGGUGACCGGCCACAUUGGGACUGAGACACGGCCCAAACUCCUACGGGAGGCAGCAGUGGGGAAUAUUGCACAAUGGGGGGAACCCUGAUGCAGCAACGCCGCGUGAAGGAAGACGGUUUUCGGAUUGUAAACUUCUAUCAAUAGGGAAGAAAGAAAUGACGGUACCUAAAUAAGAAGCCCCGGCUAACUACGUGCCAGCAGCCGCGGUAAUACGUAGGGGGCAAGCGUUAUCCGGAAUUACUGGGUGUAAAGGGAGAGUAGGCGGCAAGGUAAGCGAUAUGUGAAAGCCUUAGGCUUAACCUGAGGAUUGCAUAACGAACUAUCUAGCUAGAGUACAGGAGAGGAAAGCGGAAUUCCUAGUGUAGCGGUGAAAUGCGUAGAUAUUAGGAAGAACACCAGUGGCGAAGGCGGCUUUCUGGACUGAAACUGACGCUNANGCUCGAAAGCGUGGGGAGCGAACAGGAUUAGAUACCCUGGUA
rnacentral:rRNA from 1 species